rnacentral:rRNA from 1 species
UAAUACGUAGGGGGCUAGCGUUGUCCGGAAUCAUUGGGCGUAAAGAGCGCGUAGGCGGCCAGAUAAGUCCGGUGUGAAAGUCACAGGCUCAACCUGUGAAUGCCGCUGGAAACUGUCUGGCUAGAGUCCGGAAGGGGCGAGUGGAAUUCCUGGUGUAGCGGUGAAAUGCGCAGAUAUCAGGAGGAACACCAAUGGCGAAGGCAGCUCGCUGGGACGGUACUGACGCUGAGGCGCGAAAGCGUGGGGAGCAAACAGGAUUAGAUACCCUGGUAGUCCACGCCGUAAACGAUGGGUACUAGGUGUAGGAGGUGUCGACUCCUCCUGUGCCGAAGCUAACGCAUUAAGUACCCCGCCUGGGGAGUACGGCCGCAAGGCUA